rnacentral:ncRNA from 2 species
GCUUCGGGGCAGGGUGAAAUUCCCUACCGGCGGUAAUGCGGCGCAAGCCGAUGAGCCCGCGAGCGAAAGCCGAAUGCGGUGAGAUUCCGCUGCCGACGGUACAGUCCGGACGAAAGAGGC